rnacentral:rRNA from 1 species
CAUGCAAGUCGAGCGAGAAGCUAACUUCGGUUAGUGGACAGCGGCGCACGGGUGAGUAACGCGUGGGAAUUUACCUUUCGGCGGGGGACAACAGUUGGAAACGACUGCUAAUACCGCAUACGCCCUACGGGGGAAAGAUUUAUCACCGAAAGAUAGGCCCGCGUUAGAUUAGGUAGUUGGUAGGGUCAAAGCCUACCAAGCCGACGAUCUAUAGCUGGUUUGAGAGAACGAUCAGCCACACUGGAACUGAGACACGGUCCAGACUCCUACGGGAGGCAGCAGUGGGGAAUCUUGCACAAUGGGCGAAAGCCUGAUGCAGCCAUGCCGCGUGAGUGAGAAGGCCUUCGGGUUGUAAAACUCUUUUAGAUGUGAAGAUGAUGACGGUAACAUCAGAAAAAGCACCGGCUAACUUCGUGCCAGCAGCCGCGGUAAUACGAAGGGUGCUAGCGUUGUUCGGAAUUACUGGGCGUAAAGAGCGUGUAGGCGGCUUAGCAAGUUAGAGGUGAAAUCCCAGGGCUCAACCCUGGAACUGCCUUUGAUACUGCUAAGCUUGAGAUCGUGAGGGGAUAGCGGAAUACCCAGUGUAGAGGUGAAAUUCGU